rnacentral:rRNA from 1 species
UCCCCGUGAAAAAGCGGGAAUACUCCUAUAAGACGAGAAGACCCCAUGGAGCUUUAAACCCAACUAUAUACCUAACCCCUAUAACUACUUAAUCCACUAGGCCUUAUAUACUUGGUUUUAGGUUGGGGCGACCACGGAGUACAACCAAACCUCCGCGAUGAACGGAACAACCCCCUAUCUAAGAGCCACACCUCUAAGAAUUAAUAUACUAACAUAAAAUGACCCAUUAUUGAUCAACGAACCAAGUUACCCUGGGGAUAACAGCGCAAUCCAUUUCAAGAGCCCCU